CCUCAUCCACCUGCUGCGGGCAGAUGAAGUGGAUGUGGGCGUCGAUGCCGCCGGCGGUGACGAUCUUGCCCUCACCCGCGAUGACCUCGGUCCCCGGCCCGACGACGAUGGUCACGCCCGGCUGGACGUCCGGGUUGCCGGCCUUGCCGAUGCCGGCGAUGCGCCCGCCGACGAUGCCGAUGUCGGCCUUGACGAUGCCCCAGUGGUCGAUGAUCAGCGCGUUGGUGAUGACGGUGUCCACCGCGCCGCCCUGGCGCGAGGUCUGGGCCUGCCCCAUGCCGUCGCGG
rfam:Azospirillum brasilense Sp245 main chromosome complete genome